rnacentral:tRNA from 1 species
GGGCCCAUAGCUCAGUUGGAAGAGCAUCCGGCUCAUAACCGGUCGGUCCCAGGUUCGAGCCCUGGUGGGCCCACCA